CGGGCGCACGUGACCCGAGCCUGCGCACAGAGCGGGAACCGGCGCGCGGCGCCUCACGGUCCCGCACCUCACAUCCCGGCCACACCCAGCUGUUCUGAGAGCUUACUGGAUCUGUAGCGCAGGCUCAGGAAUCACUCCUGGCAGGGUUCAAGAGACCAUAUGUGGUGCCUGGGAUUGUACUCAUCACCGAGUGCAAGGCAAGCGCCUUGCCUGCUGUGUGCUGUCUUUUUUAAAGAAUUAAUCAAAGGAGGACCAGGAAGUUGGUUCAAGAGGCAGAGCACAUGCCCAACACGUGCAAGACCCAGCCCAGAGCUUGAUCCCCCGCACCCUGUGCCCUCUCCCACCCAGUACCCAAG